GAUGAAGAACGUAGCGAAAUGCGAUACGUAAUGUGAAUUGCAGAAUUCCGUGAAUCAUCGAGUCUUUGAACGCACAUUGCGCCCCCUGGUAUUCCGGGGGGCAUGCCUGUCCGAGCGUCAUUGCUGCCCUCAAGCACGGCUUGUGUGUUGGGCCUCCGUCCUCCUCCCGGGGGACGGGCCCGAAAGGCAGCGGCGGCACCGCGUCCGGUCCUCGAGCGUAUGGGGCUUCGUCACCCGCUCUUGUAGGCCCGGCCGGCGCUUGCCGACACAUCAAUCUUUUUUCCAGGUUGACCUCGGAUCAGGUAGGGAUACCCGCUGAACUUAAGCAUAUCAAUAAGCGGAGGA
rnacentral:misc_RNA from 1 species